AGCUUUGCGCAGUGGCAGUAUCGUAGCCAAUGAGGUUUAUCCGAGGCGCGAUUAUUGCUAAUUGAAAAUUUUUCCCAUAAUGAUGAAUUUAAAAACAUUUUGUAACCUAGGGUGUUAA
rnacentral:snRNA from 1 species